rnacentral:rRNA from 1 species
UACGUAGGGGCCGAGCGUUGUCCGGAAUCAUUGGGCGUAAAGAGCGUGUAGGCGGCUAUUUAAGUCCUGCGUGAAAUCCUGCGGCUCAACCGCAGACGGUCGUGGGAAACUGGAUGGCUAGAGUGCGGGAGAGGAGAGUGGAAUUCCCGGUGUAGCGGUGAAAUGCGCAGAUAUCGGGAAGAACACCCGUGGCGAAGGCGGCUCUCUGGAACGCAACUGACGCUGAGACGCGAAAGCGUGGGGAGCAAACAGG